UACGUAGGGAGCAAGCGUUGUCCGGAAUCAUUGGGCGUAAAGCGCGCGUAGGCGGCCCUGUAAGUCCGUUGUGAAAGUCAAAGGCUCAACCUUUGAAAGCCGAUGGAUACUGCAGGGCUAGAGUCCGGAAGAGGCGAGUGGAAUUCCUGGUGUAGCGGUGGAAUGCGCAGAUAUCAGGAGGAACACCGAUGGCGAAGGCAGCUCGCUGGGACGGUACUGACGCUGAGGCGCGAAAGCGUGGGGAGCAAACAGG
rnacentral:rRNA from 1 species